AGAGAGGCCGCCCUGACUUUAAAAUGACUUUCAAGGUCCCCCUCCACCCCCCGCAUCUCCUCACUGGUGGGGAGGGGGUGGCGUCUGUGAUUGGCUACUGGGGACGGCAAAGGUGAGCGAGUGGCACCCAGGUGGCUUGGCUGUGUCUCGGCUGAGGUGUCUCAUUAAGAGGCGUUGGUCUCAGGUGAGCUGUCUCGGGUGAGUUUGGUGUCUCGGGUGAGUUGCUCACCAGUUUCGGCUGACCAGGAGGGGCAGGUGAAGGUGUCACCAUGAGGGUGAAGGUGCACGUGGAGUAUUGCGGGGGAUGAGGUAACGGCCACCAGAGCCGCUUCUGGGGGCUCGAGUCCCGGGUCCAAGCGGAGCUCCCGGGGGUGGAGAUCAUCGGAGUUACGGGGAGGAAAAAUAGCUUCGAGGUGAAGGUGAACGGCAAGCUGAUCUACUCCAAGCUGGAGCUGGGAGGACUACCCGAGCUGGACGACGUGAUCGCCGCGAUCCGCUGCGCCGUGCAGGGAGAAGCCGUGCAGAAGAUCAGCCGCACCCAGCGCCAGUGCAGCAUCGUGUAGCGGCGUGCAGGCGGGGAGGCUCAGCCCUCCGCCACCAUCAUCAUCAUUAUCACCACCAUCACCACCACCCUCACCAUCAUCACCAUCACCUGCUCGGUGACGGCUCAGCGCAAAGGGGCACGGCCCACAAGCUGGGCGCUGAUGGACGCAGCGUGGGUGAACGGGUGACGUGGUGGUGGUGAAGUUGGAGUCGAUGGCGAUGGUGUAGGAGGAGGUGUGGUGAUGGUUAAGAUAGUA